AAUUUGUCCGUCAGAAAUAUUGGGGAUCACUAUAUUUCCAUUUAAUAUUAACUGAUAAUAUAUGCAUUGGUGGCCAUGUUAACUAACUAAGAAAAAAGAUCAUUCUACACAUUUCUGGACUUAUCUAUGAAGUGCCCGAUAUAUUAAUACUUUUGCCUCAUUUAAAUAUGACAUUCACAAACAUGUGCAUAUUUUUAAUAAUAUAAUCAAAAAGAAAUAGGCAAUUUUAUGAAUAAAUAUGGCAGACCCAGCCUUUUAGAGCAUGCACUACUAGUGCAAAGAAGACAUAAUAUGAUCAAUUUAAAUAUUUUUUGAUAAUAUUUAAUUUAGUAUAAAAUACAGUAAUUAAAUACUUACAAAAGUAUUAAUUUAUAAUACAGUCAUUCAUAUUUGCAUAUUUUUAUUAAAAAUUCAACAGAAUAAGAUAUUGAUCUUUAUUAGGACUAAAUAUGGCAGAUCACAUGAAGGUACAAUGGGAACAUGAUAUGACUGAACUGUUAAAUAUUAAAAUCUUUCAAAAAUUUUCAAUUCUUGAUUUCCCCAUAUAUAAAAACUACCUUACUCUAAAAAAAUUUUUUUUUGAAAAAAUUUCUUGGCUUAUACAUGGAUAUAUAUAUGAUAGUUUUAUGUAUUAUAAAUUUAUUUUGAGUAUUCUUUAAUAAAUACUAAAAAUUAAGAUAUGUUAAAUUACACAAAUAUAUGGAUUUAAAUUAAAUGCUAG
rnacentral:lncRNA from 1 species